GACGAACGCUGGCGGCGUGCUUAACACAUGCAAGUCGAACGGAAAGGCCCUGCUUUUGUGGGGUGCUCGAGUGGCGAACGGGUGAGUAACACGUGAGUAACCUGCCCUUGACUUUGGGAUAACUUCAGGAAACUGGGGCUAAUACCGGAUAGGAGCUCCUGCUGCAUGGUGGGGGUUGGAAAGUUUCGGCGGUUGGGGAUGGACUCGCGGCUUAUCAGCUUGUUGGUGGGGUAGUGGCUUACCAAGGCUUUGACGGGUAGCCGGCCUGAGAGGGUGACCGGCCACAUUGGGACUGAGAUACGGCCCAGACUCCUACGGGAGGCAGCAGUGGGGAAAUUGCACAAUGGGCGGAAGCCUGAUGCAGCAACGCCGCGUGCGGGAUGACGGCCUUCGGGUUGUAAACCGCUUUCGCCUGUGACGAAGCGUGAGUGACGGUAAUGGGUAAAGAAGCACCGGCUAACUACGUG
rnacentral:rRNA from 1 species